GGAGUAGUGGAGUAAGAAGUUUGCUGGCAUCUGUUUGCAGCUGUCCAUACUGAAGAUCUACUAAAUAUUUUCAGCCAAAGUAUUUAAGAAGUCAUCAUUUCUUAGCUGAAGAAGCUUCCAUUGUCAUGUUGCCAGCAUGACUAUUUACCAAAGUGCAUUGAAC